rnacentral:tRNA from 1 species
GGCCCCUUGGUCAAGCGGUUAAGACAUCGCCCUUUCACGGCGGAAACACGAGUUCGAUUCUCGUAGGGGUCACCA